UACAGAGGUCUCGAGCGUUAGGCGGAAUCACUGGGCUUAAAGCGUGUGUAGGUGGAUGCCUAAGUACCUUGUGAAAUCCCACGGCUUAACCGUGGAACUGCUUGGUAUACUGGGUGUCUUGAGUCACUCAGGGGCGGGCGGAACAAAUGGUGGAGCGGUGAAAUGCGUAGAUAUCAUUUGGGACGCCAAUGGUGAAAACAGCUCGCUGGGGGUGCACUGACACUGAGACACGAAAGCCAGGGGAGCGAACGGG
rnacentral:rRNA from 1 species